rnacentral:rRNA from 1 species
AACUUUCAACAACGGAUCUCUUGGUUCUCGCAUCGAUGAAGAACGCAGCAAAUGCGAUAAGUAAUAUGAAUUGCAGAUAUUCGUGAAUCAUCGAAUCUUUGAACGCACAUUGCGCCCUUUGGUAUUCCAAAGGGCAUGCCUGUUUGAGCGUCAUUU